rnacentral:ncRNA from 4 species
AGUAUUAAGUAUUGUUUUAUGGCUGAUAAAUUUCUUUGAAUUUCUCCUUGAUUAUUUGUUAUAAAAGUUAUAAAAUAAUCUUGUUGGAACCAUUCAAAACAGCAUAGCAAGUUAAAAUAAGGCUAGUCCGUUAUCAACUUGAAAAAGUGGCACCGAGUCGGUGCUUUUUUU